GGGAUAAAGGCAUAGCAGGACUCCCAGUGCUGAGCUGAGGGAGCAGCGGGAAGGAACGCUGGAAGGAGGGAGAGGAGUUUGCUCUCUGCUUCCAGGAAGGAUCAAAUGCGAAUGAAAGCCCAGAGCCUCUGCACUGUUUAUACCAAAGCAAGCAAAGCCAAUUACAGACCAGGGUGGUCGGCUUUCAGCCUGUGACCAGGAGGAGCACAGAGAGGCCGCCACCCCAGCCAGGCCGGACAGCACCCACCUUUCUGACCCUUCUUCAUGAGAGCUAAGAACUCUUCGUAUCGUCUCUGCUUUUCGGGAUCUUUGGCGAAAGGCUUGAAGUUGCUGGCUCUUGCGGUGGCCGCCGUCCCCCCGCCCGCCGCCAGAUGCCACCGGCUGGAUGCGAGGUCCGGCGUGGGGGUCUGGGCUCUGCUGCUGGAGGCCGCCUGGGCCAGACUCCGGGCCUUGGCCUGAGCUGCUUUCAGGUCAAGGUCAGUUGCCUGCUUCGUUUCUUUAAUUCUUUCUCUGUCUUUUUGGGACAGAAACUCCAACACUGAAGUAGAUGAUCCUAGGUAAGAAAAAUAACAAGACACGAAAAAUAGACUUACUUCUGCCGGGCAAAGACACUACCGCUUUUUUGUUGUUUUUGUUUUUGUUUUUUUCGAGACAGGGUUUCUCUGUGUAGCCCUGGCUAUCCUGGAACUCUUUCUGUAGACCAAGGUGACCUCAAAGUCAAAGAGAUCUGCCUGCCUCUGCCUCCCGAGUGCUGGGAUUAAAGGCGUGCACCCCCACUGCUUGGCUUAAGUAACUUUUUUUAUAGAAGACAAAUAACCUAGGUGGCACACUCCUGUGAUCUCAGCAGGGUGUGACUGAGGUGGCAGAACCAAGAGUUCAAAAUCAUCCCUGGCCACAUUGAGAAUUAAGGGCCAUCCUGGGCUACAUGAGACCUUGGGGGGGGGUA